UUUUGGAAAAUGACCAUUUUACCCCUCUCUUUAGAUGCCCCGAGUCAUUUUUAAUUGUUAUCGGGUGUUGAUUUUUAGAAAAUCCUAUGAAAAGUUAAGUCCUUGGAAAUUUUGAGCUUCAUAAGCUUUAAGUGUUAAAAAGUGGUAUUUGGGGUCAAUCGGAGCUACAGAUCUCGGAACGGAAUUCCGUCGAUUCCAGCAGCUCUGAAAUGUCGAAAUUGGGUUAGGAGACUUUACGGAAUCAGUUUUGGAGCUGUAACGAAGAUUUGAGGCCUUGAGUUGAGAAUUUGAGGAACUUUAAGCCAAGGUUUGACUUUGGUCAACUUUUGGAGUUUCGAUGCUCAGAAUGGAAUUCCGACAACUCCGUUGGAUUCAGGAGAUGGUUUUUGGUCUAGAAGAAGUGUUGGUUGAAUUUUUAGAGGCCCCGAGUCCAUUUUGGUAUUUUAAAGGCCUAAAUUAGUUUAGUUGCGACUUUUUGAGUUUUGGGCUAACGAAAUCUCGAAUUCAAAUUCUGAUGGUUCCAUCAGCUCCGGAAUGACCAAAUUAGGCUAGUAGCACUGUUGGAAUAACUAUCGAGUCAAUCGAUACGAGUUUGGGGCUAUUUGGCGCUUUUGACUUUGAAACUUAGCCUAUAGUUGACUUUGGUCAACAUUCUUGGAAAAUGCGCUCGAAUAAAAAUUCUGACAGCGCGGUUAGUUCCGGAAUGUUGAUUUUAGUCUAGAACGACCCUUCGUUCGCUUUUUGAGACUUCCGGACUAAUAUCGAGGCCCGCUGUGAAAUAUGACUUAAAAUGACUCUUGGAUGUGGGACCCACUUUUUAUUAUAAUAACCUCGUAUGAGAAUUCUGAAUGCGCCAUUGAGUCCGAAAUAUCGAAUUUAGUAGGGUAGCAUAUUUGGUUUAUUUUUAUCUGAUUCCGAACGAAUUCCGAAGGUUCGUUCGGAGACUUUAAAUUGUGGCAAAACCAGAAAAUCUGCAGCAACAGUGCAGAAAAAUUUUCAGAUUUUCUCCUCAACUUUGAACCCUCAUUUCUUGAGUUCUAGAGCUCCAAAUUGGGUGAUUCAAAAGGCAAAAUUGUGAGGUUUUUCGUGGAGAACGCAUUGGAGAGAUUGAAAACUGAUUUGGAGUAUUCGAUUCAGGGUCUAAAUUCAAUAGAAUUUCGUGAGGAAUCUCUUGGUAAUCUCAGAAAUGCUAGGAGAAGCUUCGUUUGAGCUUGGCAGCAUUCCGAGGCCGUUCGAAAGGGAAAAGCUCCAGCACAGUGAUUUGGAGCCCGCUUGUUUGGCCUACAGGACCGAGCACCAGCUACUGUCACAAAUAGAUCGAUCUUGUUGUAGUCAGAUUCGGAGACUAGGGUGAUAACUUGGCGUUUUUGGAUCACUUCUGUCUCCUUCAGAAUGGAUGGCCCGUCUUUUGCCUUCUGAGACUAGCCAGUUGUUUUAUAUCUUUUUGGUCCACUUUCGGGACUUGUACUCAUAUUUUAUUUUGUUGCAGCUCUGUACUUGUGACUUCCAGGUUCUGGGAGGGAUCUUUAGUUGUUUAAAACAUGUUUUGGUUUAC